AAAGGAAACUGUAGCGUUCUGCCACAAGGCUUCAUUAUCUUCCAGUCGGCUGGCUGCGCCUGGAGUGUCUGAAAAUGGACUCAUCAAAAGAGGUAGCUGCCUCUGAAAAGGAAAGGAAGCCAGCAGGGGAGAAGAGGGAAGAGCCGUCCAGCGAACUCCCCAGCACCUCUUCUGGAAUCCCCCCUUUGUCCCUGUUUUCCUGUCACGAGUGGCCUGGUAAUGAAAG